GUUUUUUCAAAAACAUAGCCCAAAGAUUUAUUUUGGGUAAAUUCUGCCCAGCGUAAUUUAUUAGCGGCCGCAGUACUUUGACUGUGCUAAGGUAGCAUAAUCAAUUGGCUUUUAAUUGUAGUCUGGAAUGAAAGGACUAAUAGGGGUUAGCUGUCUCUAUACUAUUAUUUUGAAUUUAUUUAUUAAGUGAAAAUACUUAUACAAAGAAAAAAGACGAGAAGACCCUUAGAAUUUUAAUAAAAUAUUUAAUAAUUUUUUUUUGUUGGGGCGACAUUGAAACAAUUAAACUUUCAUUAACAAUCAAGACAUUUAGGUUUGAAAGAAUAAAUUACCUUAGGGAUAACAGCAUAAUUAAUUAUUUAGUUUGUGACCUCGAUGUUGGACUAGGAACUAGAAGAUUAACCGUCUAAAUAGAUGUCGUCG
rnacentral:rRNA from 1 species